UACGUAGGGUGCAAGCGUUGUCCGGAAUUUAUUGGGCGUAAAGAGCUCGUAGGCGGUUUGUCGCGUCUGCUGUGAAAACUCGGGGCUUAACUCCGGGCCUGCAGUGGGUACGGGCAGACUAGAGUUCGGGUAGGGGAGACUGGAAUUCCUGGUGUAGCGGUGGAAUGCGCAGAUAUCAGGAGGAACACCGAUGGCGAAGGCAGUUCUCUGGGCCGUAACUGACGCUGAGGAGCGAAAAGCGUGGGGGAGCGAAACAGG
rnacentral:rRNA from 1 species